UUAAGAUGUCAGCUUUUUGAUAGUUUUUUUGGUUGUAUUUUGUGUUUGUGUUUGUUUAUUUUAACGUCUCCUCAAAAUGGAAAGAUUUUUACGAAUCGUAGAAGUUCCGGGAAGAAUAUUUAUAUGCAGAAGAUUCUGGCCAAAUAAUGUUAAAGUAGUUAAAUUUAGUUAUAUGUGGACCAUAAACAACUUUAGUUUUUGUCGAGAAGAAAUGGGUGAAGUUCUCAAGUCUUCUACAUUUUCCGCUGGCGCGAAUGAUAAAUUAAAAUGGUGUUUGAGAGUGAAUCCGAAAGGUCUGGAUGAAGAAAGCAAAGACUAUUUAUCAUUAUAUUUGUUACUAGUGUCGUGCAAUAAAAGUGAAGUUAGAGCCAAAUUUAAAUUUAGUAUAUUAAAUGCGAAACGCGAAGAGACAAAGGCGAUGGAAAGCCAACGAGCGUAUAGGUUUGUGCAAGGAAAAGACUGGGGCUUCAAGAAAUUCAUUAGACGGGAUUUUUUAUUAGACGAAGCCAAUGGUCUUCUUCCAGAUGAUAAAUUAACGAUAUUUUGUGAAGUGAGUGUAGUAGCGGAUAGUGUAAAUAUUUCAGGCCAGUCGAAUACAAUACAGUUUAAGGUUCCAGAAUGUAGAUUAUCAGAUGAUUUAGGAUUACUGUUCGAGAAUCAGAAAUUCAGUGAUGUCACGUUGUCAGUGGGUGGUAGGGAAUUUCAAGCACAUAAAGCGAUAUUGGCAGCGCGCAGCCCCGUCUUCCAGGCGAUGUUCGAACACGAAAUGGAGGAGCGGAAACACAAUCGAGUCGAUAUAACAGACGUGGACCACGAAGUAUUGCGAGAGAUGCUGAGGUUUAUCUACACGGGAAAGGCCUCGAAUCUCGAAAAAAUGGCUGAUGAUCUGCUAGCGGCAGCAGAUAAGUAUGCUCUCGAGAGGCUGAAAGUGAUGUGUGAAGAAGCAUUAUGUACAAAUUUAUCAAUAGAAAACGCAGCAGAAAUUCUCAUUCUGGCCGACUUACAUAGUGCCGACCAGCUUAAAGCUCAAGCCAUAGAUUUUAUUAAUACACACGCUACGGACGUGAUGGACACCCCCGGUUGGAAGUCAAUGAUCCAAACCCAUCCACAUCUGAUAGCAGAAGCAUUUAGAGCUUUAGCGACACAACAAAUUCCGCCUAUAGGCCCGCCAAGGAAACGAGUGAAGCAGAGCUGAAGCUCGUGAAGCGCUACGAAGCCAAGUCGACUGCUUUAAUGUGUUCAAAGUUCAAAUUCAAGAGAAAGAAAUGAAAAAUCCAGAGACACUCUUUCACCCUCUCAUGUAAAUUAUAGACAGAAACACGCGGAUAUCGAGUGCUGUUUUUUAGUGAUAGACGUCCUUAAUUUCUGUUUGUUUUUUGUCACCUGGUAAUGAGGAGGUUUACACAAGUAUUACCUAUAGUUUUUUUACUACAAACAUACGCUUACGUCAUUCAAUAUUUCUGACGUCAGAGCAUUACCAAAAUAUUGGGAUAUGACUUUACAUCAUGGCCAUGUUUCUUGUACAGUGAGAAGCUAGGCAUCAUUACUUGUCAGAGCAUCCUUUGUCAAAAUAGGCCGAAGUUUCAGCAACGACUUCAUCUUUUUGCUGCGAAACGGCGUCCUCCUUACGCGUCCUAUCUACUUUGGUACUUUGUUAGUUGCGGUUUUCCUUCAUCAUCUAAAAAUUCAUCGUACAGUUCAAUUGCGUCUAUGAAUGCUCUAAUUGAUUCUUCGGUGUUUCCUAUGUGAGGGAUCAGGUUCCCUGCUGUUUUCAGUUCGAAUUUCUCUCCCAUCUUGUCGUUGUUAUGUUCAACUUGUCUUUUCCGUAGUUCUGUUUGGACUUUUCCGAUCUUUUCUCCAAUUUUUGCAAUAAUAUCUGCAAUGAAUUUGUCUUCUGCUGCCUUACAGCUGUCACCUUUGUAUAUUUUAUGCACCGUCCUAAACUGUUCCGUGAUAGUCCUGAGUUUUUCCACCCAUUUAUCUGUGAUUAGCUUAUUUUUCCUUCGUUCUAUAGUGUCUUUUGUGAGAUUCCUAUUUAAUAUAGUUAUAUCUUCCAGAAUACGUUGAAAUCUUUCCUCGAACAUAAAUUCGGCUUGGCCUGACUACGUUACUCAAUAGUAUAUGGCCUAGUGUCUCGAAGUCUCAAUUACUUCGUAAAGCUUAUCAUUGCCGUUAAGUUUAUCAAAUAUAACAAAAUGUAACAUAUAAAAUAAUAUAAUAAAACAUAAAUGUAAGUAAAAUAAAAGGAUCAAUAAUAUUGGAUAACCGUCAAUAUUUAAAGUGUCAGUAAAUAAGUAAGUGAGUAAUUAUAUAAUAAAAAAAAAAUCAAAAUUUCAAUAUGAAAAUAAAAAAAAUAGUCAUCAAACUUACUUCAUAAGCAGUUAAACUGUAUUGUAUUAAAAAGAAAAAUUACUCACGAAUAUGGGUUCAUGUGUCUAUGCAUUUGGUCCUGGAUUCUGGGCGUCUAACCUCAGCAUCUCCAUUGAUUUAGAUACUUCCUGUCGGAUGUGGCGUCGAAGCUGCUUCUUCCAUCGUCGAUACAGUAGCCAUCCGACGAUGAUUAUGGCCAGGCUGAACGAUACAAUUCCCAAAACUCCAGGGAUUGAUAGCUUCUCGUUUUCGCCGGUUUCAGCUGUCACACCUCCGCUGUUGCCUGCUUGGUUUAUGAAGAUCUGUUCCUCUUUUUCUUUAUUCUGGUUGUUUCCCAUCUUACGUGUAGAGCUGCAUACCUCAAUCUAUAUGCGAACCAGAAAACUCCAUUCUUUAACUUAAGGCACGGGUCGCCAUGUGAUGUUGGGGGUUGCUGGACGAAGACACUCCCGAACAAACAAACUUAAACUUUCUACAUAUCUUUAUUCUUACAAGGUUAAAGGUACAGUUACAACUACGUCGACCGACAUUAUAGUUAGGAUAGGUCAAGGUGACCCAUAUCUCGGUAACUAUAUCCCCUGACCACGCGCCAGCAGAGUUCAGCGAACACACUGAUACAACAAUGAAUGUCUCAGGUACUCGACCUUCCCACUUAUAUCUUAUUAUAUUAAAAACAAUGCCCAUAUGUAUUACCAUAUAUGGUUAUGCUAUACGUAUUUCAAUAAUGACGUGUGCUGUGUUUGCAGUCUUGCGAAUGAGUUGAAUACUUUGAACUUUGCUACUAUCGUAAUAAAUUAUACAAAUUGCAACUAUAAUAUUGACCUUAUUCUUAUAACAAAUAAAUUAGGAAAAUUCCGUGAGGGUUGUCGUGUACCAUCACAAGCCAUUUUUUUAGGUAUGAAAACAGGAAAAAGUAGCUGGCGGCAAGAUCCGGGGAAUACGGUGGGUGUUAAACCAAUUUAUAGCCUAAUUCGUGUAAUUUUGGCAUCGCGAUGGCCGAAUGUGCACUUUUUGCCUUCUUCGGCGAGCCUUCACCGCGUUUGCGCCACUGUGUCGACUGUUCUUUGGUUUCCGGUGGAUAAUAAUGCACCCAUAUUUCAAUCAACAGUGAUAAAUCAGCAAAAAAGUCCAGGUCGCCUUUGAUUUGCACAUUCAUUUUCCCCUUUUUGUGGAGAAACUUAUUCACUGAACGAUACUUGAUUUUUUCCAUUUUUCCGAAAACACAAAAGUUGUUUGCUUCUGACUGCUGUAAAAACCAAUCUAAUAGUUAUUUUGCCUUAAAAUUUUUGACAGACGUCAUGUCAUGAAUGGCAAAUAUCAAAAUCGAGAGCAAUGGACAGCCUAAGUCUGACGUCACAAAUGUCACAAAAUUGGGAGGAGCUUAUAUGCACUCCAAACAAUUUUAUUUGUAACGUUAAAUUGUCAUAAGGAAUUUUUCAUUUAUGUGCUUUGUGUGGCAAAAUAAGACUUCAUUUAGGUAUUUCGUUAAAUAAACGUGUUAAUUAAGAGAUUUUUAUUCGUUUUUGCUCAGGUGGUUUUUAUUUAGUGGUUGAAAAUAAACAUAACCUCAAAACUGUUGACGUUCUUAUCAUUGCAUUAAAUUAACUCACCUGGGCAAAAACGAAUAAAAAUCUCUUAACUGACACGUUUCUUUAAAUAAAUACCUAAAUGAAAAGUCUUAUUUCGUCACACAAACCACGUAAACAAUAAAUGCAAAAUUCCUUAUGAGUGUUUAACCUUAUAAACAAAAUUUUUUGGAGUCAAUAUAAGCUCCUCCCAAUUUUGUGACGUCAAGACUCAGGAUGUCCAUUCGGUAUCAAGUAAUGCCAUCUAUCAAGACUAGUUUUGUAUCAAUCUAUCCUCGUGCAGUAAAUAAAAACACUGUAUGAGGAACAUGGCCAUGACGAAAAGUCCUAUUCUAAUGUUCUGGCAACGCUCUGACGCCAGAAAUCUUGAAUGACGCAAGCGUAUUUUUGAAGUAAAAAAACCAUAAUAUAUUUUUCCAUAAAAUUUUAGAUUUUAGAAAAGUUUUAUUAAAUAUCCAUGUCUCUUAAAUUUUAAGUACGAUUUAAUAAAUUGAUGAAUGGAUGAAUAAGCUCUUGAACUGAUUUUUAGAGUUAACCAAAUUGAAUAUUAUUAGUCUUUUUGAAUCGAUCAAGUUCUUAUUAAAAUUAAGUUCAUUGUUUUCUUUUUUGUAAGUUUUAGUUUUAUUAAUGUCCAUAUUUAUUUAAAAAUACUUCAACAUCUUAAAUGACAGACAAAUUUUAGGUUUUGAAAGACUUCAAACACAUAUUGUACGGUCAUAAUGGACAGCCUAAGUCUGACGUCACAAAAUUGUAAGGAGCUUAUAUUGACUCCAAACAAUUUUGUUUGUAACGUUAAAUGGUCAUAAAGAAUUUUUCAUUUAUGUGCUUUGUGUGGCAAAAUAAGACUUCAUUUGAGUAUUUCGUUAAAGAAACGUGUUAAUUAAGAGAUUUUUAGUCGUAUUUGCUCAGGUGGUUUUUAUUCCUUAGUGGUUGAAAAUAAACAUAACCUCAAAACUGUUUACGUUCUAAUCAUUGCAUUAAAUUAACAUACCUGGGCAAAAACGAAUAAAAAUCUCUUAAUUGACACGUUUCUUUAACUAAAUACCUAAAUGAAAAGUCUUAUUUUGUAACACAAACCACGUAAACAAUAAAUUAAAAAUUCCUUAUGAGUGUUUAACAUUAUAAACAAAAUUGUUUGGAGUCAAAUAUAAGCUCCUCCUAAUUUUGUGACGUCAAGACUUAGAUAGGAUGUCCAUACCAAACAUUGUUCUUUAUUUAUAUGAAGUUUACAUUACAUAGUUGACAGUUACAGCUAGGAUAAACGCGACAUAAUUUGACGUUUCUGUCAAUUGUUAACUGUCAUAUGUCUUACCAUUUGUCCUCUAUGUUUUGGGUUAGCUAACACAGGCCUUACUAUGUAGGGCCUUGUGCAUGUAUUUUCUAUAAUAACGAUAGAUGUAUCUUCUUUAAAUGGCGCAACUGAUACAAUUAAUACUGUUUUAUGUUUCAAAUAAAAUUAUAGAUUUUUGGUUUGAUCUGUGGUAACAAUGCGCUAAGAGGUCUCUAUCUAAACAGACUUCAUUUACGCUUCUUCUGGCAUAUAACAAGGAAGUCUGAUAUUAGACUCGUUAAUUACUCAAUUCCAGGAUAUUUUUUCCCUACCUAUUGUUAGAGUGCAUUCAGUAAUGAGUGAGUUACCAAAUGCCUAUAAAUCGAACCAUAUUAUAUAAGAAAAAAUUGGUUCACAUUUUUUAAAAGUAAUUAAUCUAAAUAUUUCACUAACUUAUCACGUAAUAUUUGUUUUGAAACGUGAUAUAACAUGAUCAAGGUAAUUACUGCAUUUCCCUUAUCUCAGUUAUACUGGAUGUUAACGCAAUAAUACAAAUCUGAUAACAGUACAAGCUUAAAUAACCAAAAUAAGAUUUUUGUUUUGUUUUGUUUUUUGUAUUGUACUAUUGCCAGUGUUUCAAGCUUGUCAGCUGUAAUGUACAAUUGAUGAAGAAUUGUCAUUACCCGCGAACAGAUAUUUCACAGAACAUGUUCAUGGAUUUCCCCAACUUUUUUAUUGGCUGUGAAUUUAUUAUAGUGCUGAUGUUGGAAAUUUUCCAAUACAUACCAAUACAUUAUUUCGCCAACACUGCGCUUCUUUAUCUUUACUUCCAUUAUUGGUUUUAGUAUUUCGUAUCUGGUACAUCUCAUUCCAUGACCAAGGUACUCACAAUUUUUGCUUCUUCACUGUUCAUAUUAUUGCUUUUUGCACAUGGGAUGGUCUAUCGAGGACAUCAAAAAGGGAGUCUAGGUAUUAAGUUCAGUCUAGGACAACUGUGGGUUAUCCCCUUCAGCUUGAGUAUGUAUAUUACAAAAUACAAAAGAAAUAAACAAGUGUAUUUGAAAUAAAAGAAGAAAAUAUAUACAUUUAAUUCCAAAUCAUCAAUUUCUACAAAAUUAAAAUAUGAGACGUGACCUGUAGCACAACAAAUAUUUAUUUUAAGUUAGAAUAAUUACAAAAGCGAUUAUACAUAGCGACAAUUAACCAGCGGAAUAAUUUAUGGUCCAUAGGAUAAUACAAAAAGGUAAAAUCCAUGAAUGACAACGAAAAUUAAGAAAACGCUUGAUUGCGUCAAUUAUGUAAACUAACGGCGUAAAUCAAUAAUAUAAGUAAUAUAUAAUUAAUAUUAUAAACGAGAUACAAAGGUGAAAAUAUCUGUCAUCGAUUUUAUGUCAAAUUUGCUUUGUUGCCGUGUCUUGCUUUAUCAUUUAAUAAUAAUUAAAUCAAUGACACUCAAUACCAAAAAAACAAAUGGGGGGACGAAUACUUAACCUGUCUGUCAUGGUACUAAAGAAGUGUUUGUAAAAAGCAGAAACAAGUUUUGAGCGUCAUUUCGAGCAACUAUAAGCCUCUUCUUCUGCUGUACAGACUGUGUAAUUUCACUGUUUGAAAGUCAAAUACGGCUGAUAGAGCUGAUAUUUACAGUCACUACUCUCUACUGCGCAAACAGAAGGUGUUCCAUAAUCCAGAUUUCAUACUUUUUCCCGUAUUUAUAAACUAUCUUUAUGGUGACAAGAAAGUAUGAUAGUUAAACCCAAUAGGGAUUCCAACAUACUGUUAAAAUUAAAUCAAAAUCGCGGCUGGGAGGCAAAAAUAAAUAAUGUUAUUUUAUCAGUUUUUAAUGUCGUUUUAGAUCAUUUUACUUGCGUUUCUCUGUAAUUUUGUUUUGUACAAGAAUUAAUUUUCACUGGAAGAAUUAACUUAAAAAGAUAAUAUGUCCCAUUUAUGUUGUGUUUUGAACUGGGGAAAGCGAAGCAAUCAUUAUAAAGUUCAGUUUUAUAGGUUACCAUCAGUGCUACAUUUUUAGCAUAAAUCAACUAAAUAAGUUAUCAUCUGAGAGACAAAAGCAAUGGUUAAAUGCUAUAAAACGUCCUAUAAAAAUGCUAAAUAACCAACUAUGUCCAUGUUACUUACGCUUGGAAAACUGUCUCCACCGUAGGUUAACUCGGACCCCUUGAGGGAAAGUGGACCUAUAAUUUAUUUUGCCGAUCUUUUGCUUGUACUUACUAGCAACAUCUGUAUUGUCUACCAACAACUUUCGAAAAAAUUCUCAUGUUUAUUUAUUCACUGCUUAAAACUGAAUAAAGUCGUUUAAGUACUUCUACAACCAAAAACUACACAAAAUCUACAAAAUGUUCGGAAAAUACAACUAAAAAACUGUUAACGGUAAAAAUCUUAAUAAACAAUAUAAACAAAUACAAUGUUUGACUCCCAGCGGUUUCAUAAACGUCAAAGUCUUGGAAUAUCCUAUGCAAAAAUUUUUCCAAAACUAGGAAUGAAAAAGUAGUUAUUUUUCAUAUUUUCUUAAUUUGGAAAUAGUUUAGUUCAAAAGCAGUACAUAUGUUACAAACUAAGUGUUUGAUAUGGAUGAAUUUUGCCACAUGUAACUUUGAAGAUAAAAUGACAAAAAUAAUUUCAACUGUUUCUUCUAUUAGGGUACGUUCACGCGCGAUUACAACUACAUACUUUUUACUCGGGCCUUACACAUGGCUGAAUAAAAUGUAUGUAGUUGUAAUCGCGCGUUAUCAAAACAUGUCAUAUGAACGUGCCCUUAGUUUCAUUAUCUUCAUGCCAAAUUUUGUGUUUUUUAAUAAGCUUUUGUGAAUCUCCUCGUUGUUCUGUGAUUGUUUUGUUAUGUAACUUUUUCUUUUUUGUAAGAUAACGUGUUUUCAUUUUAGUGCGGCGAGGUGACGCUAUAUUCAAGAGUAGCCACCUUUGAAAACUAUGAAUAUUAUUUUUAAAGUACAGUUGCCAUCAAGUUAUUGCAGAAAACCUUAAUCUUAUUAGAAAGUCAUUUGCAUUUGCGUCGUGUGGUUAAGUUUCCAGCACAGGUAGAAAGUAAUAAAAUGUUAAUCUACUGUACAUUUAAUUAUUAUACCUGCUAUUCAGUAUGUUUGCCUCUUGAAACUUAAUGACACGACUUGUAAUAGGAUUAAGAUUUACUGCAAUAACUUAUGGUAACUGUACCAUAUGAGUUGCAAUAUUCUGGUAAAAAUUGUUAGUACCACUAUAUAUCAAUAAAUAUCAUUACAAUUAGUAAUUUUUUGGCAUACUAUAAUAUACUUAUUUCGAUUCCGUAAUGUGAUACUUUACCAGAAUGUUUUUUUGUAAUAUUUUUGCUAAAUUUAAUAAUUGGUCAUGAUGUUGGCCCCAUUAUUGUUUUAUCUCCUCCUUAGAGAGGUUUGUAAUUAUAUAACUAAUUUUUAAAAGUAUAUUAAUUUGUAACCCUUCAUAUAUCCAGUAACCUCGUGAUGAUAUGUUUGAAUAAUGAUGAUGUACUCCGAGAAAAUUCUCUAUACGUCUCAUCGACAGCUUGGAUUCAGUUCGCUUCGGGAUACAACACAGGCGGCUCUGAAGACGCUAAAAAGCAGAAACCUUGGUCAGCCGAUGGUGGUGGCCCCCGGAUGGAAUUAAAUCUACAGCUGUUUUUCCUUAAUAAUGAUGGACUUUGACUUUUGCUUUUCUGCUGUUUUUGGAACGGUUUUUGUAAAAAGUAACAGUGAAGAAACAAUGAGAUAUUUAAACCAGUUAAAGGUCUUCCUCUCCAUCUUCUUCCCGGCGGGUCCCGGUCCAGUAUUCUUUUCGGCCACCUGUGCUCUGACAUUCUUUGUACAUACCCGUACCACUGCAGAGCUCUGUUUUCCAACUUUUUAGUGGACUAUUAGACAUCUUCCUAUAAACUCCGAUUCAACUGUUCGUAUUUUACUUUGUAUUUGUUGGAGAACUGUAGUCUCCAACCAAAUAAUAAUAAUAUACCGCGCCGCCUCUGACAAAACAUCAUUACAUAGUGUCUGUAGACCAAUUUCCAAGAAAGUGUUAAUCCACGCCUACCGGCGUGACGGACUGAAUUCGUUAGCGGGGUGCAAGUGGUAGUGAGCUAUCGAGACUCGUAACGAACAGAUACGCAAAAUCUAUUUUUUUCGGAGAGUAUUCUCCACGUUGUAAGUUGCAAAGAACGCCGGUAAAAUGUGAAAAGUCAUUGUCGUGGUGUUUUACGGUAGCUGUUCACUCAAAUGUUCAUAUAAUAUUCUAUUUCUUGCCCUUUCAAAUUCCAUUACAGUUCUAACAAAAUAGCAAGUGUUUGAUUUCAUUAACCAAUUUAACAGGCCAGAAUUACAGCACCUUAUCAAAGUUCAUUAAAAGUUUCUCUACUGAGCAAUCGAAGGCUAGCGGCACAUUGAACUUACUGCAAGUGAUAACCGCUGAAAGACACUGUUCUCAAUUCAAGACUCUCCCUGAAGGGCUAUUGAAAACCAGCACCCCUUCAGUAUUGUUGUUGUCAUUGACCCUACUUCCGCUCCAUGUAUUCAGCACUAUAUUCUGAAGGAUUUUUUUUAUAUAAUUCUAUAAGUAUAAUUGGAAUAUAUUUAAUUUCUGUUUUGUCUUUAAUUAGUUUUGGAAUAUACAGUUUUAAGAAGUUAAAGCUUUAAUACGAGGUUGUCCUUUUAGUUUUGCAUAUAGCCAUAAAGACAAAAAAUAUAUAGACUUACAGUAGUACUUUAACGCUCUUCAAAAUAAGUCCCACCAAGAUCGAUACGCUUUAUGUUCCAACCAAUAAUUGGUAAAACAGUUAUUCCGGUCUUCAGUUGACACCUGCAAAAUUGCUGUUUUAAAGGCAUCGAUGGCUUCAUCCAGUGAGUGGAAUCGAUGCCCACACAUUGAAUUCUUGAUCUUUGGGAACGUGAAGAAGUCGUUGGGACUUAGGUCGGGGCUAUACGGUGGAUGGUUUAAUAAUUCGAUGUUUUGAAGUUCCAAAAAUUCUAUUGUGUUUUAGGCAGCAUGAGCACUUGCAUUGGCCUGAUGUAGGAUGAUUCGCUGUCACCCUUCGCCGAUGUUACCAGUUUUUAUACUUUAUAUUUCUUUUUAUGCGAAGGUAAAUAAGUACUUUAAUUUCCCAACUUGAAGAAAAAGAUAUAAUAAGAAAUCAAAAUCAGAGAAAACAAACUAUUUAUUCUUAUUCAAAAAUCUAUAAAAUCGAUAUAUAUCUGUAAUUAUUUAAUCUCAUGUAAGUAGUUGAAAAUAUAAAAAAAAAACAAAAGAAAGAGAUAAAAAGCCCAAAAAUAAUGUUUAUGCUUAUAGCCCAAAGCCCAAAAAUAAUAUUAUAAUUAUAGAUAUAUAUCGAUUUUAUAGAUUUUUGAAUAAGAAUAAAUAGUUUGUUUUCUCCGAUUUUGAUUUCUUAUUAUAUCUUUUUCUUUAAGUUAGGAAAUUAAAGUACUUAUUUACCUUCGCAUAAAAAUAAACAUAAAAACUGGUAACAUCGGCGAAGAGUAACAUUUGGCGCCCAACGUGGAGCCAGAACUAUCUACUAUGGAGAGUAAAGGGAGGAAAACUUUUCAAGAAUAUAAAACCGCGAUACCCUGAGGCCCAAUCUGAUUAUUAAAAAUCGUUUCUAGUUGUUUAGCGACUUUUAACCCGUAACAUCGCCUUUGUGUAUUGCUUGGUCGGAGUUUCGCGAUAACUUCUGGUAAACAAACGGUUAUAUACCAAUCAGAAGUAACCGUUCUUCGAUCUUUAGGCUUUAUUGGUGGCUUUAUUGUUGGCGCCCUCUAAACGGCUAUAGCAAAACUAAAAAGACAAACCUCGUACAUCAAUCGAUAAUAUCAUCAAUCAGCCAAUCGCGUCCACUGCUGGACAUAGGUCUCCGUCAGUUCUUUCCAGUGUUCUCUACACUGGGCCGCUUGUAGCAAUUUUUCGAUAACAUGGUUUAUUGGAUAUAUUCAAAUUAAUAUACUUACAAUCGAUUUAUUUUUUAAUGUGUUAAAUGCUUACGCUUGAAUUUUAUCUGAGCGAAUUGUCGAUACUGCGGAAAAAGGUGAUCAACGUAGCUACCUCAAAGUAUCUUUAAUAAUUGUAUUACCUAGCAAUAUUUCCUAGCCUUCUCAUUGUCAUUUUAAAAUUGUCGGCUAUGUAAAAUGACAAAAAUCGAUUUCCGAGAGUGGUCCGUUCGCUGACGGUAAAAUAUUGCAAAACAUAUACGUUUUAAAGAACCGCUUGGAUUGACAUGAAAUUUGGCAUAUGUACACAUAGCUAACAUAUCAAAGAAAAAAGGUGAUAUUGUGCCUAUGUGUGAUUUUGCCUGGGGAUGAGUUUGACCCUUCUCGGGGAUGAAAAAAUAUACGUUCAAAAUAAGUCCGGAAAUGGAUAAACUGACUAAUUCUAAGCAACUUUUGUUCUACAGCAUUUUUUCACUUACUUAAUACUUUUCGAGAUAUUUGGGAGUAAAUAUGUUCAUUUUUUAACAAAAAAAAACACAUAUUUGGACGGUUUUUUGCAAAUAACUCGAAGUAAUAACUAUUGUAUCGAAAAAAAAACAUUCUUAGCAAAAAUAUUGCGUUAUAAAUAUUGAGUUAUCUGCAAAAAAUCCGUCUAAAAACGGGGCUUUUAGUCUAAAAACGGGUUUUUAGUUGAAAAAUGAAUAUAUUCACUCGCAAAUAUCUUGAAAAGUAUUAACUUUGUGAAAAAAUGCUAGAGAACAAAAGUUGCUUAGAACUAGUCAGUUUAUUCAUUUUCUGACUUAUUUUGAACGUACAUUUUUUCACCCCGAGAUUUGGUGAAACCGACCCCUUGGGUAAAAGCACAUCUUCACAAUAUCACUUUUUUUCUUUGACUUGUUAGCUAUGUGUAUGCCAAAUUUCAUGUCAAUCCAAGCGGUUCUUUAAAAUAUGAAGCAAAAACCGUGAUUUAAUGGACUAGAGUAAUUUCUAGAAAAUUCAAGCGAAUGCAAUAUUUUUUUGGAUGAAAUUGUUAUGUUGUGUUUAAGUCUUUACUCGCCGCACUUAUAGACUAGACGAUGUACCGUAGGAAUCGUUUUUAAAAGCGACGGAACCAUUAUGUCGAAGCUAUUUUGGUUCUGAUCUAAAUUGAUCUGGUCGAAGAAUAUUGAGAAUGUCAAAAUUAAAGGCAGAUAUUCGGUCACAUGGGAUAGACAUAGUAUGUUGUCUGAUCCACUCUCUGUUAAGUUAAAAAUUGAUCUAUCCUCUAUCCAAAUGUCUGUAAUACAAAAUCAAUGCUUACUAUUUUAUUGCUUAUCGGAGAGUGUAUCAAAAGUGACAUAUUUAUGUUUGGUCUAGUGACUUCAUUAUUACUGCCAUUGUUUAUUUUAUUAACCGAUUAUCACCAUAAAUACUGUUAUUAUGAAGGGAUCAAAAAUAUCGAUAAAAUCCAAGAACUCUUCAACUGUUGUACAAAGUGAUUAUUAAAAAUAAGUUUGCAAAAACUUUGUGUAAAUAAGUCUCGUAUAAGGGUAGAUUUAUUCUUCGACAAGAUCGUUUUAGUUCUCAUCAUUAACAAAAACCAUUUUAACGUUUAAUCUUACAUUACAAAAAUUUCGUUUAGUCUAUGUAAAACAAAAACAUAAAUGUGAUAUAUAUACGACCACAGCUGGUUCCUAUGCGGGGACACUCGACCUUGUAAUUUGUAAUUUUAGUGUUAUUAUUUGUCUUGAUCUCCUGGUUUAAGUUUAAGAUCAAACACAGCAGAUAAAUAAAAUCUUGCGAUCUUUA
rnacentral:misc_RNA from 1 species